rnacentral:rRNA from 1 species
UACAGAGGGGGCAAGCGUUAUUCGGAAUUAUUGGGCGUAAAGGGCGCGUAGGCGGUUUUUUAAGUCGGAUGUGCAAUCCCUGGGCUCAACCCAGGAACUGCAUCCGAGACUGGAAGGCUAGAGUACUGGAGAGGGUGGUGGAAUUCCUCGUGUAGCGGUGAAAUGCGUAGAUAUUCGGAGGAACACCAGUGGCGAAGGCGGCUUACUGGCUCGAUACUGACGCUGAGGUGCGAAAGCGUGGGGAGCAAACAGG